rnacentral:rRNA from 1 species
GAUGAACGCUGGCGGCGUGCCUAAUACAUGCAAGUCGAGCGAACGGACGAGAAGCUUGCUUCUCUGAUGUUAGCGGCGGACGGGUGAGUAACACGUGGAUAACCUACCUAUAAGACUGGGAUAACUUCGGGAAACCGGAGCUAAUACCGGAUAAUAUUUUGAACCGCAUGGUUCAAAAGUGAAAGACGGUCUUGCUGUCACUUAUAGAUGGAUCCGCGCUGCAUUAGCUAGUUGGUAAGGUAACGGCUUACCAAGGCAACGAUGCAUAGCCGACCUGAGAGGGUGAUCGGCCACACUGGAACUGAGACACGGUCCAGACUCCUACGGGAGGCAGCAGUAGGGAAUCUUCCGCAAUGGGCGAAAGCCUGACGGAGCAACGCCGCGUGAGUGAUGAAGGUCUUCGGAUCGUAAAACUCUGUUAUUAGGGAAGAACAUAUGUGUAAGUAACUGUGCACAUCUUGACGGUACCUAAUCAGAAAGCCACGGCUAACUACGUGCCAGCAGCCGCGGUAAUACGUAGGUGGCAAGCGUUAUCCGGAAUUAUUGGGCGUAAAGCGCGCGUAGGCGGUUUUUUAAGUCUGAUGUGAAAGCCCACGGCUCAACCGUGGAGGGUCAUUGGAAACUGGAAAACUUGAGUGCAGAAGAUGAAAGUGGAAUUCCAUGUGUAGCGGUGAAAUGCGCAGAGAUAUGGAGGAACACCAGUGGCGAAGGCGACUUUCUGGUCUGUAACUGACGCUGAUGUGCGAAAGCGUGGGGAUCAAACAGGAUUAGAUACCCUGGUAGUCCACGCCGUAAACGAUGAGUGCUAAGUGUUAGGGGGUUUCCGCCCCUUAGUGCUGCAGCUAACGCAUUAAGCACUCCGCCUGGGGAGUACGACCGCAAGGUUGAAACUCAAAGGAAUUGACGGGGACCCGCACAAGCGGUGGAGCAUGUGGUUUAAUUCGAAGCAACGCGAAGAACCUUACCAAAUCUUGACAUCCUUUGACAACUCUAGAGAUAGAGCUUUCCCCUUCGGGGGACAAAGUGACAGGUGGUGCAUGGUUGUCGUCAGCUCGUGUCGUGAGAUGUUGGGUCAAGUCCCGCAACGAGCGCAACCCUUAAGCUUAGUUGCCAUCAUUAAGUUGGGCACUCUAAGUUGACUGCCGGUGACAAACCGGAGGAAGGUGGGGAUGACGUCAAAUCAUCAUGCCCCUUAUGAUUUGGGCUACACACGUGCUACAAUGGACAAUACAAAGGGCAGCGAAACCGCGAGGUCAAGCAAAUCCCAUAAAGUUGUUCUCAGUUCGGAUUGUAGUCUGCAACUCGACUACAUGAGGCUGGAAUCGCUAGUAAUCGUAGAUCAGCAUGCUACGGUGAAUACGUUCCCGGGUCU